UACGUAGGGUGCGAGCGUUAAUCGGAAUUACUGGGCGUAAAGCGUGCGCAGGCGGUUGUGCAAGACAGAUGUGAAAUCCCCGGGCUCAACCUGGGAAUUGCAUUUGUGACUGCACGGCUAGAGUGUGGCAGAGGGGGGUGGAAUUCCGCGUGUAGCAGUGGAAUGCGUAGAUAUGUGGAGGAAUACCGAUGGCGAAGGCAGCCCGCUGGGAUAAAACUGACGCUCAUGCACGAAAGCGUGGGGAGCAAACAGG
rnacentral:rRNA from 1 species